CAGGACGAACGCUGGCGGCGUGCCUAACACAUGCAAGUCGAACGGAACGAAAAGAGCUUGCUCUUGGCGUUUAGUGGCGGACGGGUGAGUAACACGUGAGUAACCUACCUUCAGAGGGGAAUAAUGUCUGGAAACGGACACUAAUACCGCAUAAAAUAUUUUAACCGCAUGAUUGAAAUAUCAAAGGAGCAAUCCGCUGAAAGAUGGACUCGCGUCUGAUUAGCCAGUUGGCGGGGUAACGGCCCACCAAAGCGACGAUCGGUAGCCGGACUGAGAGGUUGAACGGCCACAUUGGGACUGAGACACGGCCCAGACUCCUACGGGAGGCAGCAGUGGGGGAUAUUGCACAAUGGGCGCAAGCCUGAUGCAGCAAACCGCCGCGUGCAGGAAGACGGUCUUCGGAUUGUAAACUGUUGUCCUCUGUGACGAUAAUGACGGUAGCAGAGGAGGAAGCCACGGCUAACUACGUGCCAGCCGCAGC
rnacentral:rRNA from 1 species